rnacentral:rRNA from 1 species
UACAGAGGUCUCAAGCGUUGUCCGGAAUCAUUGGGCGUAAAGAGCGUGUAGGCGGCUCGGUAAGUCCGCUGUGAAAGUCCAGGGCUCAACCCUGGAAUGCCGGUGGAAACUGUCGAGCUAGAGUCCGGAAGAGGCGAGUGGAAUUCCCGGUGUAGCGGUGGAAUGCGCAGAGUAUCAGGAAGAACACCCGUGGCGAAGGCGGCUCCUCUGGGAACGGUACUGACGCUGAGACGCGAAAGCGUGGGG